rnacentral:sRNA from 1 species
AAUUUAAUCAAUUACAAAACCAAAGAAUACAUUCUUCUUUUUUUUUAUAUGCGUUAUGUAUUUUUUAGAUUGAUGAGUAUUAGAUGUGACUGUAAAUUUUGUAUUUACUGCCACCCAGUAAAUUCAAAAUUUACAACAUGACAGAUGGUCACUGAACUUUGAUUUUUUGUUUUGAUUGUUUUUGAUUUUUGUGAAGUUGAUUUAAUCUUUAUAUUUGCAUGUAUUUGGUAAUAAACCUUACCUCCUAGG